rnacentral:tRNA from 1 species
GCGGGGUAUUUUAUAAAAGAAUAUGGGGCUCAUGAUCCCAAGGUCUAAGCUCUGCAAUGGCUUAGCCCCGCAU